GCCGGGCACGGUGGCGCCCGCCUGUAAUCCCAGCGCUUUGGGAGGCUGAGGCAGGAGGAUCGUGAGUUCAAAGCCAGCCUCAGCAAUGGAGAGGCCCUAAGCGACUUGGUGAGACCCUGUCUCUA
rnacentral:sRNA from 1 species